UCUCAAUUUUCCACGUCACUUUUCUCAAUUUUAUGCUCAUGCUACGACGCUUACACUUCUCAAAUUGCAGUUACGUAUCCUCUUUCUCCUAUUCAUUUCACGUUACAAACUUCCUCCAAAUUCUCUUCAUCAAUUCAUUUCACGUUACAAACUUCCAGCGGUUACUACUCUCCACAUUCAUCUUCCCCAAAUUCUAACCCUAAAUCAAAUACUCAGUAUUUCACACAACCUUUCAUCAACCCUCAUCACAACCAUCACCACAAAUUCAUCAUUGGACCGCAACAGAUUCACAACGUGCGGAGCACCGUCAUCGGUAACAAAUCUUCAGCAGCAACGAUUGUAAUCUGAUAUACAACGACAUCAUCAGAAAAUCACGGUUGCGACAUCAGAUUCACGAACAACAAUUUGCUGAUCCGCCAACAAGCUUCCAUUCACACCCUGAUCGAAGCAAUUAUUGGGUUUUGUUUGAAUUUUCAGAUAAGCUCUGUCUGGUGAUAUGAGCAAACUUCUCUUGGCAGCAAAGAAGAUAAGAAGAGCAACAUGUACAUAAUUUUGAUUUUGUUUAUGCUUUGAAUUUCAGAUGGCGAUUCGUUUCAAUUUGGGUUUCUCUGAUUAAGCUAACGGUUCUCCAAUUUGGAGGAACCAUUGGAGUUUAAGAAUUAUGAUGAAAAUCAGUUGAAUGAGGAUAUGCAAGAGGAUCAGAUGAACGAUGUUUCACCUAAAGAGAAUAUGCUUGAAGAUCAAAUAAGUAAUGAGUCGGAGGAUCAAUUCGAUGAGGAUUUUGAUGAGGAUCAACAUCAGUUUGCUGAGGAUAUUCACGAGUAACCAAGGAAUCUGUGCAAAAUGAUUUUCUAGAUCGGAUGAAUGAGGUUUUUAAUGAGUAUACUAGGAAUCUGCACCAGAAUGCAGUUUUUGAGCAUGUUUACCAUUGUUUUUCUGUCUCAUCUCUUAAUAGGUUAUUAAGCCUGCUUCUGCUCUAGAUCGACUCUUGCGUAUGAACAUUGAAUAUCCAAUGUUAUUUGAACUGAAAAAUUCUUCUACUGAUAGAACUACUCACUGCGGAGUUUUGGAGUUCACAACUGACGAAGGGACUGUGUUCUUACCGAAUUGGAUGAUGGAAGAUAUGCUCUUACAGGAUGGAGACACUAUAUCUCUGAAAAACACAAGUCCAUAAAAGGAAAGUUUGUGAAGCUGCAGCCUCACACCAAAGAUUUUUAGAUAUUUCUAAUCCAAAAGCCAUAUAUGAAUUGAAGCAGCCUGCAAGUCGAUGUCUGAGUUAGUGUCGUAUCGUAUCGACCUGUCAGUGUGUGUAUGUCGUGUUUCCGCUAUCUGUGUUUCAUAGGUUUGGUGAUGUUGGCUCACGCGGAAGGGGGAAGAUUCGUCGGCGGUGGUGAGAUUUAUGGGUUUGGUUGAAAUCAGUGUUUAUCUUCUUUGUUAUCAUACUUUGCGUCUUUUUCUUUCUCGCAAACUUAAUGUAGCAUUAUGUUGAAUUGGCUGGUACGUUGUAAUUUGGGUUGAAUUGUUGAAUUUUCUGCUACUUGGCUCAUGAAAUGAUGCAUGCUUGGCUUAGACUGCAUCUCUGCUUUUUUGAUGUUGCAGGUUUUGAUGCAAGCUUGGAAAAGGUUGUUGAUUUCGGUCUAUCAAGGUCAGAGCCAUGUUUCCUGAAAAUCAAACAACAAUGCCUGCACAAAUCAGUACCUCUCGGCUGAAAGCGAUGGCCGAAUCGUCUUGCUUCCGAACCAGCAUUGCGGUUAAGUAUUUCUCAGAUGAUUGGCCAACUAAUAGUGAAAAGGAAACUUUUGAGAAGUUUGUAUUCACCAAGACUCAGAAGAUAAGGUUGUAUUAUAGUAAUAAUCAAAAUAGUGCUGCAGAUGCUGGUUUAUCUUUUGUAUGCAAUGAAGACUCUUUAAGAUAAGGUUUUUUUAUAGUAAUAAUCAAAAUACUGCUAUAGAUAUUGUUACUGUUGACUUAUCUAAAAGUGUUCUGAAAAGUGAUCAUUGCCCUGGAUGUCAAAAUUCAAGAUUGCAGAACCGAAAUUUUGCAAAAAGUAAUUUCGAGGAACGAAGAGGGCUUUCGUUGAAAUUCGCUACUACAAAUCCGAAUCACAAUGCUGGAACUACGUCGACGCCACCAUCGAAAGAUAAGUGUUUCUCUAAAAUGUUGCAAGGUAUUUCAAAUUUAACUAUUUGAACUAUUUGAACUUAUCUACUGAAAUAAGCACGCGUGAAAUUGUUUGGAUGAGCUUUUACUAACAAAUUAUGUCCAUAAGCUUUUUCAAAGCUGUUUGGAUGGGCUUUUAAAAACUGAUAGGGACUGAGUUCGUUUGUAUGAAUGUGCAAGGCUGAACAUGGAACUGUUAUGUUAGUCAAAUAAAUGGCAACACAAGAAGUUGAUUCACAAAUUCUGUUGACUAUAGUUGAAGAAUUUAAACAUGUUGUAUCUACUGCAAAGAUGGCAUUUCCAGCAUGACGUAACACUCCGGUUACGACACGUCAACGUGUUAUGUUAAAGCUCCAGGAGCUCAUUUGCAGAGAUACGAUGAGCAUCUUACGACAUUAGACAACGUGGUGCAUUCUUUUGUGAAUAUAGACACCUUUUUUUGUCAUGCUUACUGUUAGUAAUUUUUUAUUAUCUUUUGACUUUGUAUUUGUUUUAGGAUAAACUUGCUUUUAAUGUGACCACUGAACAAGGAAAGACACUGAAGGAUGCACAAGGCGAGAUGUAUUUCGUGGCUUAGUAGGCCAAAAAUGUUGCAGCUCAGUAAGAACUAUAGCAGUCAAAACCUCACUUUCGAUUCCUCCAAAAUACUGUUUAAAGCUAUAGGUAACAUGGAAUGAUUUCGGGUCUGCCAUAGUAUUGAAUGAAAAAUCCUUUUUUUUUUUUGAUAAAAAAAAAUUAAUAAUAUAUGCAAGUCGGUUACGUCCCGAAUACAAGGAACCAUUUAUUACUAAAUUAAUAGGUUUGAAAGUUUCUUACUGAUUGUUUUCUCCAUCUCUCAUAAAUUAAUAAUAAUAAUUAAUAAUAUAUGAUUACAUAUAAGUGUGUUUUUAUCCAUGAUGAUGGUCAAUUUGGACCAUAUUUCUACAUACAAUAAGUUUCAUAUUAUUUCAAAUUUAAAACAAAUUAUUAAUAUAUGAAAUUAAUUGACUCAUUCAAUUUAUAAUUAUGUAAUUUAUUGUUCAUUAUUUUUGUUGAUGCAAUAUUAAUUUUCACUUUAAUAGUAUUUAUUCUAAUUUAUUAUUAUUUUUCAUGCACAC